UAACGCGUGGAUAACCUGCCGUAUGCAGGGGGAUAACAGUUGGAAACAGCUGCUAAUACCGCAUAAGCGCACGGUGCCGCAUGGUACAGUGCGAAAAGAUUUAUCGGCAUACGAUGGAUCCGCGUCCGAUUAGCCAGUUGGCGGGGUAACGGCCCACCAAAGCGACGAUCGGUAGCCGGCCUGAGAGGGCGGACGGCCACAUUGGGACUGAGACACGGCCCAAACUCCUACGGGAGGCAGCAGUGGGGAAUAUUGCACAAUGGGGGGAACCCUGAUGCAGCGACGCCGCGUGAGUGAAGAAGUAUCUCGGUACGUAAAGCUCUAUCAGCAGGGAAGAAAAUGACGGUACCUGACUAAGAAGCCCCGGCUAACUACGUGCCAGCAGCCGCGGUAAUACGUAGGGGGCAAGCGUUAUCCGGAUUUACUGGGUGUAAAGGGAGCGUAGACGGCACUGCAAGUCCGGAGUGAAAGCCCAAGGCUUAACCAUGGGACUGCUCUGGAAACUGUGGAGCUUGAGUGCGGGAGGGGCAGGCGGAAUUCCUAGUGUAGCGGUGAAAUGCGUAGAUAUUAGGAGGAACACCGGCGGCGAAGGCGGCCUGCUGGACCGUAACUGACGUUGAGGCUCGAAAGCGUGGGGAGCAAACAGGAUUAGAUACCCUGGUAGUCCACGCCGUAAAACGAUGAUUACCAGGUGU
rnacentral:rRNA from 1 species